rnacentral:rRNA from 1 species
GCUGAGGGUAGGGGUGAAAGGCUAAUCAAACUUGGAGAUAGCUCGUACUCCCCGAAAUGCAUUUAGGUGCAGCCUUGCGGGUUACUGAUGUGAGGUAGAGCGACUGAUAAGAUGCGAGGGCUUCACCGCCUAUCAAGUCUUGACAAACUCCGAAUGCGCAUCAGUUCUACCGCAGGAGUGAGGGCAUGGGUGCUAAGGUCCGUGCCCGAGAGGAGAAGAAUCCGGACCACCUGCUAAGGUCCCGAAAUGACAGCUAAGUUAAACUAACGAAGUCUGACUGCUAAGACAGCUAGGAUGUUGGCUUGGAAGCAGCCAUUCAUUUAAAGAGUGCGUAACAGCUCACUAGUCGAGGAGUCGGGCGUGGAUAAUAAUCGGGUAUUAAGUUGUCUACCGAAGCAGUGGGAUCAUUUAUAUGAUCGGUAGGGGAGCAUUCCAGUCAGCGUCGAAGGCGUACCGUGAGGUAUUCUGGAGCGUCUGGAAAAGCAAAUGUAGGUAUAAGUAACGAUAAAGGGGGCGGGAAACCCCCUCGCCGAAAGACUAAGGUUUCCUGAUCAACGCUAAUCGGAUCAGGGUCAGUCGGGUCCUAAGGCUCAGCCGAACGGCGAUGCCGAUGGCAGAAACGGUUAAUAUUCCGUUACUACCUUCAGGAGUGACGUGGAGACGCAGUAGUGACAGUGCCGCCAUCUGACGGAAUAGAUGGUUGAAGGGUGUAGGAGUCGAUCAUGGCAGGCAAAUCCACCAUGAGAUCCGAACCUGACAGUAUGCCGCGUCCUUCGGGACAAGGCAAUAGUGCGCGUAAGCAUGCUGCCGAGAAAAUCCGCUAAACUUAAUCCUGCAGGUACCCGUACCGCAAACGGACACACGUAGUCGGGAUGAAUAUUCUAAGGCGCUUGAGUGAUUCACGGUUAAGGAACUAGGCAAACUGACCCUGUAACUUCGGGAUAAAGGGUCCCUACCCUUUUAUGGGAGGGCGCAGAGAAUCGGUCCAGGCAACUGUUUAACAAAAACACAGGGCUGUGCCAAAUCGAAAGAUCCAGUAUACAGCCUGACACCUGCCCGGUGCUGGAAGGUUAAGAGGAGAUGUCAUCGAUAAGAGAAGCGUUGAAUUGAAGCCCCAGUAAACGGCGGCCGUAACUAUAACGGUCCUAAGGUAGCGAAAUUCCUUGUCGGGUAAGUUCCGACCUGCACGAAUGGUGUAAUGAUCUGGACGCUGUCUCAACCGUGAGCUCAGUGAAAUUGUAGUAUCGGUGAAGAUGCCGAUUACCCGCGAUGGGACGAAAAGACCCCGUGAACCUUUACUAUAGCUUAUCAUUGAAUCUGGGCACGUGAUGUGUAGGAUAGGUCGGAGGCUUUGAAGCAGGUACGCCAGUAUUUGUGGAGCCGCUGUUGAAAUACGACCCUUUAUUUGUUUGGAUUCUAACCCGUGGAUACGGGGACAUUGAUUGGUGGGUAGUUUGACUGGGGUGGUCGCCUCCAAAAGCGUAACGGAGGCUUCUAAAGGUGCCCUCCGGCCGAUUGGUAACCGGCCUUAGAGUGUAAUGGCAUAAGGGCGCUUGACUGGGAGACUAACAAGUCGAUCAGGUAGGAAACUAGAGCAUAGUGAUCCGGUGUUUCCGUAUGGAAGGGACAUCGCUCAAAGGAUAAAAGGUACUCCGGGGAUAACAGGCUGAUCCCUCCCAAGAGCUCAUAUCGACGGAGUGGUUUGGCACCUCGAUGUCGGCUCGUCACAUCCUGGGGCUGGAGAAGGUCCCAAGGGUUGGGCUGUUCGCCCAUUAAAGUGGCACGCGAGCUGGGUUCAGAACGUCGUGAGACAGUUCGGUCUCUAUCUAUCGUGGGCGCAUGAAAUUUGCGUGGCUCUGACACUAGUACGAGAGGACCGUGUUGGACAGACCUCUGGUUUGCCGGUUGUGCCGCCAGGUGCAUUGCCGGGUAUCUAAGUCUGGAUCGGAUAAGUGCUGAAAGCAUCUAAGUACGAAGCCGGCCACAAGAUUAGAUUUCUCAGGGUCGUUGUAGACUACGACGUUGAUAGGAUGCAGGUGUAAAGAUGGAGACAUCAAAGCCGAGCAUUACUAAUUGCCCGUCCACUUUCCU